rnacentral:lncRNA from 1 species
GCCGCUUCCUUCCCGGUGGAGCCCAUGCCGCUCCGGCUGAGGAACACAGGUAAAGUUGCUCGUCUUUUCUCAGGAUAUCAUUCACUGUCAAAGUAUGAGGGGAGAAGCAACUUGCAAAGUUUGCAGCAGCAUUGCGUUGCAUUGCUCUUACUUAUACUGUGGAAUUUUUGUUCCGGCAGGAUUAAUCGGAGACUUGGAGUGCAGGGAUGAGUUGCCGAGCAAGAUGCUUCUUCCUCCGACUAGAUGAACAAAUCAGAGAGGAAGGCCCAAGGCAGGACUUGGUAUGUUUGCAGUGCAGGGCAGGUAUACUUUUUUUCUUCUUUUUCGCCUCAGGUUUUGGUUGAUAGUUGGAUAUCGCAACUCACAAGGUUGCCGUGUGAUCCUGGAACAAAGUGUUCUUUGCUUCGUCCAUGGAGAAGCUAGUUUCAGACCAGAUUAAAAAAAUGUUACUGGUUACUUGGUUGUAUACCUGGCAUGGUGGCCCGGCCCGAAGCCUGACGUCCCGGGCCAGGCUCAGGCCUCCCUUUCCAGUCCCAAGCCCGGCCUGAAAGCCCGAAAUGUCUAAAACGGGUAUUUUUUUAGGAAAACUAGAUAUAAAAAAUCAUUUAUUUACUCGAAAAUAAUUAUUUUAAUACUUAAAUGGCCUAAUUUUGGUGUUUUGGGCCAGGCUCGGGCUUCAGAUUUGACCGUCAGGCUUUUAUGAAGCCCGGCCUGAACAAACCCCAGGUAUACUUGGUUGGAGCAUCUUUGGACUGGAAGUAAUUUUUGUCUGAGCUUCGGUAUUUAGUUGAAAUAUGAACUAAAUACUUCGCUUGAUUAUAAUUUUCCUUCCAUAGAGGAUCCACAAGGAGUGUGUCCUAGUACGUCAAGCAUGAAUCAAGUAACCACUGACAGUACAUAAGUUGUCAUAAACACACUUGACAAUACUAGGCAAAAACUUGAAGAGCUAGCGUUAGAUCAAUUCAUUAGGUGAAUGUACAGACAGCUAUCAGACAUCAGAAUCCAUGGCCACCGUACAACAUCCCACUGCAGGCGCAGUUGAUUGUAACACCAAUGGUGGCUUCCUCAGGGACACAAAAAAAGAGCAGCAGCGGAGUUCAAUCACUUGCUGGCUUGCUGCUGAGCUCAACAUCCUAGUAUAGACAUGGACAAGGGAACACAGCUGACAGAGGCAGCCAGACGAAACUAGGAGCUGUUCGGAUGCCAUAAGUGUUACUCCAUUACUUGUGAGUAGGGUACACAAUCCUUGGAUCAGGCUAAGGAAGCACAAAAAAAAAUGAUGUUGCUUCUGUACAGGGGGAAUCUAGCUCUACCGACCAGAUUAGGAUCUGUUGAUACCUGUUGACCUUGCUGAGGCAUGCCGAAAAUCAGAACUUGCUUCAGUACCCUUCAAUCCCUUUCAGGAGCGUCUCCUGCCUCUUUCCUAGCGCUCAGGUUUCCGGCGUAAGUCCAGACCUUCUCUAGAUCACCAGAAAAGAGCUUCUCAACUUUAACUUCCUGUUUUCCUUGCAAAUUGAUUUUGUUUAGUGGAGGCUGUGCUCUUCUGGGGCUGCCAGUAACUGGAGUGGAGGAGCAGAAAGUGGGUGUAGCAAAAGGAGAGGCAUAUGGUGUGUGCUGAAUUGAGAAUGGGCUUGGAGAGAUUUUCUUCUGGACAGGUAUGCCUACGCCACGAUUGAAGAUUGAAACAGACUCCGCAGCAGCAGACUUCUUUGUGGCAUCGUCCACAUAAAUCACAUCGUCGAUCCUCGCGAUUGUGUUAAAUGCCAAGCUCUCCAGAACCCUUGAGUAACUUUCAAGUAUGGACUGGCCAACAUCCUGAUCAAGAUAAGCCAGAAACAGGGUGAAUACUAUGUUUAAAUGAUUCAUGCAGAAACUUAAAUAAUGUUAACAGGGCAAGGUUCUGAUGAUAAAAGAACUUGUAUGUUUCAGGUCAUGCAAAAGAAGAAUAGCAAUCACUCCAAAACUAUUGUGUUCAAAUGAGUAGAUGUGAAGAAUAACCUUGUUAUACUGGAUCUUGUUCAUGUCAAGGGAAGUUUGUGGCAAACCAGGGUGUCGCAACCUUAAGCUCUGCAACAGACCAUCAGCUCUUUGGGACAAAACAUCACUCUUUGUAUCUCCAACAAGACCCUUCACUUUUCCACCCCAAGAUUUCUUUGAUUUUGCUUGAGGUGAAGAUUUCUUUUGGCCUUUUAGUCUCCAAACAUGGAUCGCAGCCUCUAUUCUGUUUGCUACUUCGAGCGUAUGGUGCUCAGAUGACAGAUCCAAGCAAUCGAGGAGGCAUUCGGGUGAGAAUUGUUCAGCAGUUAUGUAUCGAUAAAUUAUCUCACCCAAGCAAGAUCGACCACUCUGCGAAAAAAAGUAGGACAUUAUAAUGGAUGGAUUGACAGAAAUAUCCAUGAUCGCUGACAACCGAACAAGUAUCCUAUUGGGCAACCAUUAAGCAUGCAAAAUAUAGCACACAAAAUAUCAGUUGUUACCUGAAGAAGAUUCACUUUCCAUAUGUAAUGCAGUAUUACUAGCCAAUUAUAGAAAAAUUAGUAUUCACAUAGUUGGGUGCGAAAUUGCGAAACUGCCUCUUCCACGUGCAUCCCACCGACCAUCGGCAUCCUGUUCGCAGAUUGGUGGCAGACAUCCGUCCGCUCCGCCCCUUCCACGGCUAGAAAGGGCACUGUGUCGAUCAUCAUGCUACGGCCUGGUGGAUCUGGAAGCAUCGCAAUGCAGCCGUCUUCGACAACACGACUCCCAAUGAUGCCUCCCGCGCCGACGCUAGGCUCCAGUCUCGAGCCGCGGCGGUUGGGCUUGGAGCACUGCUCUGCUCCUGGCGGAUACCUAGUUGUGCA